CGGACGCAGGCGGCGGGGCCGGGGGCGGAGCGGGCGCGCGGCCCACCCGCCCGAGGCCGCCGUCGCCGCCGUCGCCGCAGGUGGACGGCGCCCGCCCUCCGCGAGUGGAACGCUCCGCUUUGCGCCCCCCCCCACCCCGGCGCCUUUGGUACGGCCCGCCGGGGAGGAAGCGUGGGAAGGGGAGCCCGGGAGCCAGCGGGGCGGCGCGCCAGAGCAGCCCGGGGCGCCCGCGGCCGAGCGGCCAUUAGGAGAGGCCCGCGUUCUCCUCCUCUCUCGGCCCCGCGCUCCGCGCACACCCACUCACCUCCCCCUGCACCGGGUCGCGCGUCCGGGCAGGUUAGAUCGCCCAGCCCCACGCCCUGCAAGAACUGUUCCAUGGGUAACACGUAUUCUAGAAGUGCUUGGUGACUACCAGGUUUUUCCAUCCUUGGAACUCUUACUGCUUCCUCUCUCCACCGCCAGUUCUGUUCUCCUCUUGGGGAGCUGGUGCCAGAAGCUCACACAAGCUCAAUCUCGCCCUGGCCACUCCUGUCACCCUGGAUCUGGGCAUCGGAGGCUGUCCUGUCGCCAGCUCGGGUUGGCAGACGGCGAGGCUGGCAGUGGCCGGCUGCCUGGAGGUGCAGCGCGGCGGGAGGGGGGACUGCAGCCCUGCGGCCGCAUCCACAGGUGCCUCCAGCGGGGUGGGGCUGAGGGCAAGGGGCGGGCAGUGACGUUAGCUCCGAUCUGGGCUGCAGAGAGCCCCAAGCUCUUGAAAGGAACUCGGUCCUACUUUCCUUGAAGCCUAGUUGGAAGGAGGAAGUACAGAAAUCUUUUUGUCACCUCCAGGGGCCGAUCCCUAAGUGGUGAGCUUUCCCCUAUAGAAGGAAAGGAGGCCUGCGUAGGAAAAGAACACUAAUUCUCUAAGAUGUUUCUCAGUACAAAGCCUACAGGUCACGUCUAGUUGAGCAGUGAGAGGCUGAAUGCGCUCCUUCUAAGACAAGGAUGUCCGUUCUUGCUAAUCUUAUUCAACAUGGUAUCUCAGGUUCCAGCCACUGCAAUAAGGCAUGAAAAGGAAAUACAAGGCAUACAGAUAGGAAAGGAAGAAGUAAAACCAUGCAGAUGGUAAGUAGAAAAUCCCAAAUCUACAGAAAAAAAAAACACACAACCUAGUAACUUCAGCAAGAUCCUAGGAUAUUACAAAAAUCGAUAGCAUUUCUGUGUGCUAACAGUGAGCCUGUGGAAGCUGAUGUGAAGAGACAAAAUCAUUUGCAAUCACUUAAAAGAUUAAUACUUAGAUGUAAACUCAAGAAACCAUGUACAGGAUCUCUAUGAUGGAAAUGACCGAUUGUGAAUGAAAUGAAAGGAGUGACAAAAUAGAGAAGCACCCCUUGUCGUGAAUCGGGAGACCCACGGAGUAAAGAAGUCCCCUCUCUGCCAAGCUGAUCCAGCUUAAUGCAGUUCCUACCAAAAUUUUUUUAAAAAGUGGGUUUUUGGAAACAAGCAGGCUUAUGUUAAAUUUAUAUGGAAAGGCACAAGCUCUACAAUACCCAAAACAAUCCUGAAGAAUGAGUGGGAGGCGUCACUGUAUUCAGUAGUAAAGCUUACUAUUCUUACGGAGCUGCAGUAAUCAAGAAUGGUAUUGGCAGAGGAAUAGACACUUUGAUCCAUGGAUACAAAUAGCGAACCCAGAAGCAGACCCAUGAAAACAGGCCAAACAAAGGCCAAAAUGCUUUUUCAGUAAAAGCACUUUGAUAAAGGCGGUCUAAGCAAUGGUGCUGGAACACCUAGACGUCAAAAGACACACACACACACAGUGUCAGUGGAAGCCCCACACUCCACACAAAAAAUUAAGCUCAAAAACAUCAUGGUCUUAAGAUGUGCAAUUGAAGCUUUUAGGAAAACAGUAUGAAAGCAUCUUUGGGACCUAGGGCUAGGUGAAGAAUUAAAGGUGAUGCCAAAAGCACCACCCAUAAAAGAGAAAGAUGUAUCAAUUGGACUUUAUUAAGAACUUUUGCUCUGGGAAAGGCCCAGAGAAUGAAAAAGUAAGUUUUAAGAGUGAAUGAUGAUAUUUGCAAACCACAUAGCCAACAAAUUACUAGUGUUUGGAAUACAUCUUAAAAGAAAAAAAAAAAAAACGAGAAAACCUUCAAACCUCUAUAGAAAAUAACCAAUUCAGUUAGAAUAGGAUCCAGACAUGAAGAGACAAUUCACCACACAAGACAAUGGUGAAACAGCACAUGAAAAAUGCGCAACAUUGUUAGCUAUUAGGGAAAUGAAAAUUAAAACUACAGUGAGGUCUCGCUGUGCAUCUAUUAGAAUGACUCAUGUAAGAAUAGUACCAGUACACAUGCUGAUGGGACACGGAGAAGUGGGAUCACUUCUGUACUGCAGGUGGGCCUGGAAAAUAGAACCAUCCUUUCUGACAACGGGACGGCGCUUAGCUCUGUGUUAGGAUGGCUGUGUCCCACACUGGAGUGCCUGGUUCCCACUGCCAGCUUCCUCUUCCAGCCUCCUGCUGAUGUAGAACCUGGGAGGCACAGUGAUGACUCACGUAGUUGGGUCCCUGAUACCCGCACGGGAGACCUGGAUUGAAUUCUUAGCUCCCAGCUUUGGCCCCCAGGCCCCGCCCUGGUCAUUAUGGGCAUCUGAAGAGUGAACCAGAGCUCUGUGUCUUUCUCUCUGCCUGUCAAAUAAAUAAAUAAAUAAAUGAAAAAUUUCCAAAAGGCAUGAAUUAUUCAUAGAACUUGGAUAAAUUCUCCAGGACAUUAUGCUGAAUAAAAAAAAAAAGCCAAUUCUGAAAAGGCACACACUAUAUGAUCCCACUUAUAUUACACUCUGAAAUGAUAAAAUGCUUGAAGUGGAGAGCAGAUUAGUGAAUUCCAGGGGCCAUGGGUGGAGUGGAGGCACCGAAGUAUCUAUGGGUAUACAAGGGCAACUUGAGGGAUUCUUGUGACGGAACCAAGCUGCACUGUGGCUGUGCCAAGGUCAAUAUCCCACUUGUGAUGUCACGCUGUAUUUCCCCCUAUAAGCCAAGCCGAUUUCAUCAUGUGGAGAAAAUGGCAAUUUGGAUUAUUUUUUAAAAAGCCUUCGAUUGUAACUCACAUACUCAUAACUCACCCAUUUAAAGUAUACAAUUCCAUGAUUUUUCAGUA